AACGAACGUUGGCGGCGUGGAUUAGGCAUGCAAGUCAUACGGGAUCCGGGGUAACUCGGGUCUAGUGGCGAACGGGUGAGUAUCGCGUGGGAAACCUGCCCUUGAGACGGGGAUAACACCUCCAACGGGGUGCUAAUACCGGAUAAGACCACAGAGUCGCAUGGCUCUGCGGUCAAAGGUGGCCUCUACUUGUAAGCUACCACUUAAGGAUGGUCCCGCGUCCCAUUAGCUAGUUGGUAGGGUAAUGGCCUACCAAGGCUACGAUGGGUAGCUGGUCUGAGAGGAUGGUCAGCCACACUGGGACUGAGAUACGGCCCAGACUCCUACGGGAGGCAGCAGUCGAGAGGCUUCGGCAAUGGGGGAAACCCUGACCGAGCGACGCCGCGUGGGCGAUGAAGGCCGUUAGGUUGUAAAGCCCUGUCGAGCGGGAAAAAUUGUAGGCGGGUGAAUAAUCCGCUUAUUUGAUGGUACCGUUAAAGGAAGCUCCGGCCAACUCCGUGCCAGCAGCCGCGGUAAUACGGGGGGAGCGAACGUUGUUCGGAAUUACUGGGCGUAAAGGGCGUGCAGGCGGUCCUGUAAGAGAGUUGUGAAAUGCCCUGGCUCAACCAGGGAAAUGCACCUCUGACUGCAGGACUUGAGUAUGGGAGAGG
rnacentral:rRNA from 1 species